CAAUAGCGUAUAUUUAAGUUGUUGCAGUUAAAAAGCUCGUAGUUGGAUUUCGGUUAAGAGCGACCGGUCCGCCGUUUGGUGUGCACUGGUUGGUUUUAACUUCCUGUAGAGGACGUGCUCUGGGUUUAACGACCUGGACUCGGAGUCUACGUGGUUACUUUGAAAAAAUUAGAGUGUUCAAAGCGGGCUUACGCUUGAAUAUUUCAGCAUGGAAUAACACUAUAGGACUCCUGUCCUAUUUCGUUGGUCUCGGGACGGGAGUAAUGAUUAAGAGGAACAGUUGGGGGCAUACGUAUUUCAUUGUCAGAGGUGAAAUUCUUGGAUUUAUGAAAGACGAACUUCUGCGAAAGCAUUUGCCAAGGAUGUUUUCAUUAA
rnacentral:rRNA from 1 species